UACGUAGGCAGCAAGCGUUGUUCGGAGUUACUGGGCGUAAAGGGUGUGUAGGCGGUUGGAUAAGUGUGGUGUGAAAUCUCCCGGCUCAACUGGGAGGGUGCGCUACAAACUGUCUGACUAGAGUGUGGGAUGGGUAAGUGGAAUUCCUGGUGUAGCGGUGAAAUGCGUAGAUAUCAGGAGGAACACCGGUGGCGAAGGCGGGACUCUGGGCCGAUACUGACGCUGAGGAGCGAAAGCGUGGGGAGCGAACAGG
rnacentral:rRNA from 1 species